UCAUGGAAGGCAGGGGAUGGCUCAGUCGGUAGAGCCUGAGACUCUUAAUCUCAGGCCAGGAGAUCAAUUCCCAUGUUGGUGAG